rnacentral:sRNA from 1 species
GUGACGCUGGGUGUAGUUGGGGAAACGCGUCGUGGUUCCCCUUCAGGUUGGGAGAUUCCGAGCCCCUGGCGAGUAUGAACAAGGCUCACUGCACCUUCCUCUUUCACAAGGAUCCAGUUAUGGCUAACAGACCUGUUUCUUUCUUCCUCUCCGGCACUGCCUUCAGUCCUAGCCUUACCAGAGCCUGGUGCAGCGAUCUGAGCUGAGAUCCGCCCACCAAAGUCACUGGGAUUCUGCAGGAAACCCCCUGAGCAGUUAGCAACCACCAGUAGCUUUCUGUCCCGAGGCAGAAGGUCAGGGAAAAGGGGGAAUUCAGAGGGGUUCUCUGAAAAGCACGUUGAUAAAACAGCUAUUGUUGACUGAAGGGGUGUCCAUUACAUUGAUUAAUUGGAUAUGGCCUACUUAAACUAGACUACAGCUCCACCGUUAAUGGCUAUUGGCAAGAUGCCUUUGAAAAAUGCGGAUAAUACAGGUCGAUUACCUCUACAGGGUUACUCAGAAAUGUAACGUGUAUGCCUAAAAAGUAUUGAAUAAUGUUAGCUUGUAUUCCACGGACAAAUGGAGGAAGAAAUAGAACCUUAAAAAUAAUCCCUCUAGGUUUAAGUUAAUCUAUGCAAAACAGGCUUCAUCUUUUUUACUAACAGAGAUUACAGUUUUAUUUUAUACCUCCACUUCUUCUCUUGUACUCAUCCGUCCAGACAACAUUGUUAUAAAACCCAGCAGAGGGGACACAAUAGUCAGGGAACCAGAAAAGGUCUGCUUUCAUGGAGUUGAGGUCUAGUGGGAGAAGCACAACAACAACAACAACAACAACAACAACAAAAACCCCAAAUAUAUUUCACACUUGGAGAAGAAACAUAGAGGUUACAGGAAGAAUUUGGGGUAGCAGAUAACAGGAUCGUUUUUUGAAAGCAGAGUGGUCAAGGCUGUGCCUAUCUGAAGUGCAGAAAGAAGCCAGUAAUGGGAGAAAGGCCCCAGAGAAUUGAGUAAAGCAAAAAGAUCGUGCAAAGAACCUGCAAUAGGGAGGAGCUUGGCUUUCAGAACUGAGAGGAAUCCGUGUUGAUGAGAAAUAUAUUUUGCCUGGAGAAGCCUUACAUUAGAUUGGAGAGGGAGUUGAGAGCUCAGUUGUACAGGGCCUAGAAAUACAUAGAAACAAGACUAGCCUUUAUUCCAACUGCAGGCUGAAGCCGCUGAAUGGUAAGUAGGGAACAAAAGAGUUGAGAACAGUGAGUGGCGCUUGAAGUAUGGCGUCUAUAUUUAUAUUCUAGACAACAUAUGGACCAGAGAACCUGAUUGAGAGGUUUUUUUUUUUUUAAUCUAAGUUUGAGCCUCUUCAAUAUGGAGUUCACCAAAUAUAGUUCAGAUUGUUUAAAAAUUUGUGGGCAUCACAUAAUAUUGUGUAGAUAAAAAUAUACUCAUUUCACUGAAAAUUAUUAAAUGAUACCAUUUUCGAUUCCCCAACUCCUGCACAGGGUUAUUUGUGUAGCCCUGACUGUCCUGGAACUUGCUCCAUAGAACAGGCUAGCCUCGAACUCAGAGAUCCCCUUUCCUCCGCCUCCCUAGUUCUGAGGGGAUCACAGCCAUGCACCGCCAUGCCAGGCUUGAUAACCAUUUAUUUUUAAGCAUUUUUUUUUUGGUUCUUUUUUUCGGAGCUGGGGACCGAACCCAGGGCCUUGCGCUUCCUAGGUAAGCGCUCUACCACUGAGCUAAAUCCCCAGCCCCAUUUUUAAGCAUUUUAUAUAGCAUUUUGUUACAGUGCAUAGUUGCCUGUACUAAUCAAUAUUAUUGAUUUCAGGUAGUAUUCCAAGUUAGUCACAGUCCUAGUCAUUUUUGAUACUAUGAUCCCAAAUGUGUUUUUAAUGAAUAUUUCCCUUUGUUAUUAUUUUAUGUCCAUCCCAUGCGUGCAAUACCUGAGGACAUCAAACAAAAGCAGAAGUCUUCAGACCUGGAUGGAUCCUCCCUGCUGCCAGUGUCAUCCAUGUUUUCGUCCCCAAUGUGAGGGCAUGGCUAUCUGCCAAUCAGUGGUUGCUGGAGAGAGUCUAUAUCAUGAAGGGGUACAGGACUGGAACAUUCAUUCUUUCAGCUGCCAGGAAUUCUGACAGCCACCAGAUUUUAUCUAGGUCCUUCUACAGGACUCUCCAGGAAGAAAGCUGAUUGCCCUAGGCCACGUCCUCUUCCUGGAUGCAGAUAUAUCCGGUAACUGACAGGUAUGUAUACCAAGGCUGAUCCCCUUUUCCAGUUCUCAGUAAUCCGAAGGAUCAUGCCAGCCUGUGCUGGAUUAGUUGAGACCAUCUACUAUUUUCAGUUCAGCAGCCUGACUCGUCCCCUUUUCUAUUCCUGCCGCUCCACCUCCAUGUGUACCCAUUCUGAGGCACUUCUCCGUAAACAUUUUACAUACAAAGCCAGGAAUGAUGGCACAGGUCUAUAGCCCCAGGACUUGGGAAGCUGAGGCAGAGGACUGCAAGUUCGAGGCCAGCCCGGGCAUUAUACCACCUGAUAUCUACUAACCCUAGACAGAAACCAACAGCCAACCAUAGCAAGGAUACCACGAAAGUCCAACUUGAUAAAUCAAUUCCGUUUAUUGGGAUUGCAUACAAGAGUAUGGGUGAAGGGUUAUUUAGAAGAACAGACAUGACUCAAAAACAGCUGUGUCACCAAAGUCCACCCCAGCACAGGUGCAGCUUCUGAGAGCCUGGAGCACACUGAACAGCCUACUGGCAGUUGAACAGGUCGGAAAGUGUCCUUUCUAGGUAGCUCAGUUGAGCUGAGAAUCUUCUGGAUGGCUGGGCUAGACUCUUCUGCCUCCAGGUAGCUGGACCGACCUGAGACUCUUCUAGACAGCUUAGCUUUAGAGGGAACUUUUGAGCUCUCACCCCCCCUCUCUUCUUCCUCUCUCCCUCCCCCUCCCCCUUCCUCUCUUCCUCUCCUCCACCCGCCUCCUUGUAUACUCACGCUGCAAGCACAUGUGGAGGCAAGAAGUUGACAGCAGAUGUCUGUCUUCCUCAAUUGUGUUGAGAACCUCAGCGGUUCUCAACCUUCCUCGUGCUGCGACCCUUUCAUACAGCUGUUCACGCUGCGGUGCCCCCCAAACACAAAAUCACUCCCAUUGCUACUUCGUAACUCUAAUUUUGCUACUGUUAUGAAUCAUAAUUAAAUCUCUGUGUUUUCCCAUGGUUUUAGAUGACGCCUGUGAAAGGGUCACUGGAUCUCCAAGGCAGUUUUGCCCACAGACUGAGAACCACUGCUUUACAGCAUUUCUCAGCAGCCCUUACUGCCUAGAUAGGCUUGGGGAGGAAGUUUCAAGAACUUUCUGAAGCCUUUGAGUUGUUUAUUUCCUGAACUUAACUAACUUCCCUUCAGAAUGGAAUGUUUUACCUCUCCAUAGAACACCCUGUGUCUUAAACUUCCUUCUAAGGUGGAUGCUCCAGGAAAUUGCUACACAAUGCUGGGUUAUAAGGUAAGAUUCAAGCUACCCCAUUUGACUAACUACAUAGUAAAAAAAAAAAAAAAAACCCUGUUCCCAAACAAACCCAGCCAUGGGCGGGCCUGGUGGCACGCACUUUUAACCUUAGCAUUCGAGUGGCAGAGGCAGGUGGAUCUCUGUGAAUUUGAGGCCAGCUUGGUAUACACCAGGGAUAAAAGGCAGAAGCCAUGUGGCCCUGGGGUGUUGCAAGCCUGGUUUGUGUUCCAGCACACCCAUUUUGCAAAAAAUAAUUGACAUGCAGGGAGAGGUUCACUUUGUUUAUCCGUGUUCCUUAGUAUGGCACUGAGAUUAAGUCUAACAUCUCAAAAUAAAUCCUGUGCAAAAAUGUGUGCCACAGCACAGAUGGCACACAUGCCAGGCAGUGUGAUCUGUAUGUACAGCAUUCACAUGUGAAGUCAGUUCUCGUGUGAUCUGUAUGUACAGCAUUCAAAUGUGAAGUCAGUUCUCACUCUUGCGUUUUGAAAGCGCGGAAACCAGAGGCUGGGGAAGUAGCUCAGUGGGUAAAGUGACUGCUAUACGAGGACCUCAAUUUGGAUCCCGGUGCCCAUAUAAAAGUCAGGUGCGAUGCCUGUAAGCCUAGCACUGAAGCAAAGAACGGUGGACAAAUCUCGGAGGGCUUUCUGGCUGGACAGCCUCACCAAAAUGGUUUUGUGAGAGACAGUGCCUCAGAUCGCACAAGGUGGAAAGCAAUCGAGGAAGACGUCUGCUGUCAACCUCUUACCUGCACUCGUACAUGCAGUGAUUUCAUAUAUGCCAGAUUGUGCCUCAAAGUUGCCAUGUAGCUGAAUAUAACCUUGCCCUUUUGCUCCCCCUAUGUCUGUCUCCUGAAUGAGUGAUAGGUAUGUGACACUACACUCAGUUUUAUGUAGUGCUGGGACACGGACCUAAGGCUGUGUACAUGCUACACAAGCCUCCUACUGACUGAGCUCCAUGCCAUACCCAUGGUUAAAUUUCUUGAUGAAUUUUAUGGUUUAUUGUCUACAUAAAAAAGCGAAACGUGUUUGCUAGGCGUGGUGUUUUGUGCCUAUAAUCCCAGCAAUGAGAGACUGAAGUAGUCAGAUUGCCAGUGGUUCAAGGCUAGCCUGGACUGGAUAGUGAGUUCCAGGCUAGACAGAGCUACAGAGUAAGACUUAGUCUCAAAAACUAAAGUGUGUGUGAGGUGGCAGGGGAGAGGGAUAAAGAGCAAAGCGUUUUUAACUUUAUCUUCUUAUCAGGAAGCAGUAAGAUGACAGUUGGCAUAACCAUUUCCUCUGAUGCCAAAGCCUUGGUCAGAAUGUUUGUAGAAUGUAGACAAUCCGAGUAUGACCAUUUGGCUGAUUUAUUGAACACCAUCUCCAUCCUCUGUUUCCAUUACUACCAAGUUCCACACAGUGGGAUCAAUAUUGGAAUCGUGAAGCUCAUCAAGCUCCUGAACUUCUUCUUGAAGCUGUCCACCAUAAUUAAGACAGUCCAGAUCCCUGUGAGUAAGGACCGAAGAUCGUCUUCAUGAUUUUCAUCUUAAUUACAUUUUAUCUGUUUAUCUUGUAUGUUUGUGAAAGAUUUUGUACCAUCCUCACCCAUAUUCUUGUAAGUACCCCAGUAAAACUCAUUGGUUCAUCAAGUAGGACUUUGAAGGUAUCCUUGCUUAGGUUGGAAGUUCCUUAUUUCAGAUGAAUAGGCAAGCAUUCACUUCCCUAGAACAACAAUCUCCCAUCUUGCCUUCGGAAACAUUGGGAUUGAGACAGGAUUUCUCCGUGUAGCCUUGAACUCACUUUGUAGACCAGCCUGGCCUCAAAUUCAGAGAUCCAUCUGC